rnacentral:rRNA from 1 species
UACAGAGGUCCCGAGCGUUGUUCGGAUUCACUGGGCGUAAAGGGUGCGCAGGUGGUUUGGCAAGUUUGAUGUGAAAGCCCCGGGCUUAACCCGGGAAUGGCAUUGAAUACUGCUUGAACUGGAGGGUUGGAGGGGGGACUGGAAUUCUUGGUGUAGCAGUGGAAUGCGCAGAUAUCAGGAGGAACACCGGUGGCGAAGGCGGGUCUCUGGGCAGUAACUGACGCUGAGGAGCGAAAGCGUGGGGAGCGAACAGG